AAUCAUCCGCCAUGGGCGAAAGCCUGACGGUGCGACGCCGCGUGAACGAUGAAGGUCUUCGGAUUGUAAAGUUCUGUUGUUAGGGAAGAAUAAUUGCCAUUCAAAUAGGUUGGCACCUUGACGGUACCUGACUAGAAAUCCCCGGCUAACUACGUGCCAGCAGCCGCGGUAAUACGGAGGGGGCAAGCGUUGUCCGGAAUGAUUGGGCGUAAAGGGGUCGCAGGUGGUUUAUUAAGUCUAAUGUGAAAUAUUGCGGCUCAACCGCAAGAAGGCAUUGGAAACUGGGAGGCUUGAGUAUAGGAGAGGAAAGUGGAAUUCCACGUGUAGCGGUGAAAUGCGUAGAGAUGUGGAGGAACACCAGUGGCGAAGGCGACUUUCUGGCCUAUAACUGACGCUGAGGAGCGAAAGCGUGGGUAGCAAGCA
rnacentral:rRNA from 1 species